GGAUGGCAGCUAACAACAGCAACGUUAAGCAGAGGAGAUCACUGACCUUGAGCCUGGGCCUUAGUUUCCCCAUCUGUAAACCGUGAGGAAACUGAGGCCCAGAGAGAGGAAGCCACUCACCUCAGAUCUCACACCUGUGAGGUGUGGGGAUUUGAACCCAGGAGGUCUCAGUGGGAUUGUGGCAGCUGUGGAAACUGAGGCUCAACAAGCAGCAGAGGUGGCUCAAGAUCCUCUCACACAGCCUGUCGGAGGCAGGCGGAUGGGGACCCAGGUUUGUUAGCUACAAUGGCCACUGCACUGUGACAUCACCUCCUCCUGGAAGCCCUUCCUGAUGACCUCCCAGUCAGCACAGUUCCCCUAUACACCCUCC